UAGUAACAUACCCAAAGUGACUGCUUGGCCC
rnacentral:piRNA from 1 species